UUUGGGGAAAUUCUAGUACUGAUUGGCUCACUAUUCUUUCUACAAACCCAGUGAAGCUUUAUAAAACCGCGCAAAGCGCGGGUAAAUUCACUAGUGGUUGGAGUAAAUUUGGUGUUACACCAUUUUGAUGUGAAAUUUGGUGCAAGAAAUGGUGCUAGCCUUGGAGAUGGCCUUAGCAGGAUACAAAUUGGCUUUAUUAUCCUAGCUUUGUUGGAAUGUGAAGAAACAACUAUCAAAGCAAACAAUACCUGGCCAAGGGUAAAGGUUGUGUAUGGGUCAAAAAUAAAUUAGAGAGAUUCGGCACGGGGAGACAUACGGCCGAGGUCGGACACUCAUCCGUAAGGUGAAGGUUUGACAGGCCGUGGUCGGACAAUCAUCAAUAAGGCCAGGGUCAGACAGUCAUAAUUAAGGUCGAUGUCAGACACUCAUCAAUAAGGCCGAGACCAGAGAGUGGUGAAAUAACUAGUUUGCUUCGAAAUACCAAAAGGGAAUAUUCUACCUCUAAGUUGUACCUUUUUUUAGGAUUUUUAAUAG
rnacentral:lncRNA from 1 species